GGCACCGGCUAGUGGGGCUCACUGAAGGCUCAACCUUCACCUGAUGGGCCUGGCUCAGCAACCAAGGUGGGGAGCAGAGAACCCCAGAUGGAGACGGUCAUGGCAGCUAGCAGAGACGGGAAGGGGUGGGCUGUGGAGCUGAUGUCCACAGGCAGAGAAGCAACCAGGGGAUGCAAGGGUGUCCAGCCCUUGUCAAGCCCAGACUGAAAGCUACUGCGUGGGACUCCUCGCAGCACAGCUCACCUGGCCUCAAUGUCAGACAGAACAGGUCGACAUUGUGCUGCUGUCCGAGGCCUCAAGGAUCAUUCUUCUGACAACCAGCCUAUGGCAGGACAGUCUUGGCACUGACCAAAAAUUCCCUCCCUUCUGCUGUGGUCUUGCUCCACCCCACCUCCCUGUCAUGGUCAUUGAAUGUGUCUAGAGCAGACUCCUCAGGUACUGGGCAGGGACAGGACUUGAGCCCUAUACAGCUGUCCUCCUCCCCUUCCCCCCAGAGCUCCACCCCUUCCUGCACACUCUCAACCCAUGUCAGCCGCCUGGGCUUUCCUGCUGCUGGUUCCACGUCUCCACUGGCAGCUCCAUCCUGCUCCUCUCACUUACCCCUCAGCCCAGUCGCUGUGUGAUCCCGGAGUUCCAGCACAGCCCCCAUGCUGGAGGAGGACUCUAGCAUUGCGCACAGCAGCCUGACAUUGGUUUUACGCAGCAGUGCCUCUUGUGAGAGGCUGUGCUCUAGUUCUUUGAGUGUGCGCUCUGAUUUCUGCCUUGUAAACCUCUUUACGCCUCUCACCGGUGCAUCCUGAAAGUUCUUUGCGAUGAAAGUCAAUGGACCUGUACCUGCCCUGUGAAUGGGAAGAGUUCAUGUUUCCUAUCUCCACUUUGGGGAACCACCUUGGACUCGGCCUGGUGACAUUUCCUUUGGUGAGCCAGCUCCAGGGAGAUGAAGAGACAUCAGGAUUAUGACACUGACUAUCAAAAGAUGUUGGCUCAUCAAACAACAAAAGCCAUCUUCCUUUGUGUCCUUAGAUCAGUUAGAGUGACAGUUUCGAAACCUGGCUAGGUAGGGUCGGUGCGCCUCCUCCUUGGCCUGAACGAGCCAUAAGAAGAUGGACCUGCAGCUCCCCCUGCCCUCCUUAAGAUUAAGGGAAAAAUUCUGGUGGUGGUGGGAAUGAGUUAAGAUAGAAGAAAUAAAAAUAGUAGAAAGGAGAGAGAGAAAAUCAUCAUUUAAAAAUUGUGCUUUUGAAAAGUCUGCAACUUCAGGACAGUGUAAGUAACCUAAGAUUACCCAUAUCAAUAGUCCUGAGAUGUGUUUUAUACCCCUUUUCUCCCAGGCCCAUCACACCCUAGAUCACUUAAAGAUUCUAUAAAUUGAUAAAUGGGCUAUUAUGGUUGAUACAUUGUGUCAAUUUAAGAAGUUUAACUGAGAGACUCAGCAGGGAGCCAGGAUCCUUACUUUAUAUUCUCGGCCUGUGCAACAGGAGGACACAGAGGUUUUGUGAAUGCUAUACCCUUCCUCGAGUGGAGGAGUUGGGGUGGCCGUGUACAAUAUAAGGGAGGAGAAGAGGCUUGUUUUCCCCUUUUUGCUCUGGCUGCUGCCUUGAAGUAUUGCCCUGGUGCCAUGCCAUCCUGCCCUGGAGUGAGCCAAUUAUGGCCCGAAACCUCCAAAAGCUGUGAGCUAAAUAAACCUUUCCUUCCUUCA